rnacentral:rRNA from 1 species
UACGUAGGGUGCAAGCGUUAAUCGGAAUUACUGGGCGUAAAGCGUGCGCAGGCGGGAUUGUAAGUCUGACGUGAAAGCCCCGGGCUCAACCUGGGAAUUGCGAUGGAGACUGCAAGGCUUGAAUCUGGCAGAGGGGGGUAGAAUUCCACGUGUAGCAGUGAAAUGCGUAGAGAUGUGGAGGAACACCGAUGGCGAAGGCAGCCCCCUGGAUCAAGAUUGACGCUCAUGCACGAAAGCGUGGGGAGCAAACAGG